UCCUUGUUAGUAUAUCGGUUCAGUACACGCGCCUGUCAUAUCGAAAAAGUCGGGAUUAGUACGCGCGAGAGCUGGGUUCGACUCCCAGACAGGGAG